rnacentral:rRNA from 1 species
GACGAACGCUGGCGGCGUGCUUAACACAUGCAAGUCGAACGGAAAGGCCCUGCUUUUGUGGGGUGCUCGAGUGGCGAACGGGUGAGUAACACGUGAGUAACCUGCCCUUGACUUUGGGAUAACUUCAGGAAACUGGGGCUAAUACCGGAUAGGAGCUCCUGCUGCAUGGUGGGGGUUGGAAAGUUUCGGCGGUUGGGGAUGGACUCGCGGCUUAUCAGCUUGUUGGUGGGGUAGUGGCUUACCAAGGCUUUGACGGGUAGCCGGCCUGAGAGGGUGACCGGCCACAUUGGGACUGAAAUACGGCACAGACUCCUACGGGAGGCAGCGGUGGGGAAUAUUGCACAAUGGGCGGAAGCCUGAUGCAGCAACGCCGCGUGCGGGAUGACGGCCUUCGGGUUGUAAACCGCUUUCGCCUGUGACGAAGCGUGAGUGACGGUAAUGGGUGAAGAAGCACCGGCUAACUACGUG